rnacentral:misc_RNA from 1 species
UGCUAUCAGCUAAAAUAUAUUGCACUACAUAUUUAACAAAUUAAGAUAUAUUCACUCAGUUUAUCAUUACAAUUAAUAACUUAAAUAGUGGAAGUAUAUCGUAUUGCAAAAUGGAUAGUUCUAUGGAUACUCUCACAGAAGUUGAUUCAUGCUUGCCUGAAAUGCUGUUAGAAACUGAGUUAACUGCGAGCAAUAUGGAAUCUUUUUUCAGUGCCAUAGUGUCUGGUAAAUGUUGUUGCAAAAAGCACGUAUUAUUUCUUUUGAACCAGAAUAAAUUGACAAUUGGUCUUCUGUCACAAAUAACAUCUAAAAUGGAGCAAAUGCUAUUUGACAGCGGAACAUGCUUAGCAAACACUGAGACAGCAUCAUUAUUGAAAACUUUCAGUGAAGAGAGAGAAAUGCUUAUCUUUUCUGUUUUCGGGAAAUUAGUUCUUGUAACUAAAAGUGAUAUCUUAGAUUUACUGGGAAUGAAUAUAAAACGAAAACUAGACGAGGGGGUGUUGAUAAAAAGGCGGAUGGACUGCGACAUAUUCAUAGCAUUGCUAAUUGUAAAGACUGCUAAUGGGGAAGAGGCUGAAAGUUAUUCUUCAAAUGUAAUAUCCAUUGCUGAUGAUAAGUUACAAGAGAAAGGCAACAUUACAAACUCUAUAACAAUGCUAAAAGAACAAACAAAUGUUUACCCAGCUACGAAUAUUUCAAACGACAGGCUGACAACAAUCAAUAGUGAUAUAGUAACAUCAGGUCAUAAGGCCCAAAUUGAUACAAAAACUCCAAUGUAUCCUCAUUAUGUGGAAAGGCAAAACAGGCAGGAAUCGUUCUCUACACCCAGUUGGUCUGUUGACAACAAACCAGAUCCCAUUCUAUUCGCAGAUUGUGGAUUUUUCUUUACAGGUAAUCAAGAUUUGGUGCGGUGCCACCAGUGUGGGAUAGGAAUGAAAGAUUGGGUUCGAGAAGAUGAUGUCCUUACUGAACACGUGAAACAUUCGUCCACGUGCGAUUUCAUCGUAAUGAAGUUUGGAAAGAUGAGAAUAGAUAGAAUGAAGCUGGCACUAACAUCUGACGGCAACAAUCAAAUAACAUCAAAUGCGUCACAACAACAACCUUUUAAAAUCCGCUCAUCGAGAUAUCAGACAAUAGAAGCAAGAAUGGUGUCAUUCAGAGAUUUUCCACAACACAUUAACGUGUCUGCUCAACAACUUGCUGUAGCAGGAUUGUUUUAUACAGGGAACAUCAGGAGGUAGCAGUGCAAUAACUCAACCAACACUGAUUUUGCCUUAUCACCCGAUGAAUAAUUUGCCAAUCACAGAUAGUGACUGUAAUCAAGAUUUGGUGCGGUGCCACCAGUGUGGGAUAGGAUUGAAAGAUUGGGUACGAGAAGAUGAUGUCCUUACUGAACACGUGAAACAUUCGUCCUCGUGCGAUUUCAUCGUAAUGAAGUUUGGAAAGA